rnacentral:tRNA from 1 species
GGCACUGUAGCUCAGUUGGUAGAGCACAUGCUUUACACUGUAUUGUGCACACGUACGCAUGUUGUCGUCGGUUCGAGCCCGGCCAGAGUCA